rnacentral:rRNA from 1 species
GUGAGGAAUUUUCCGCAAUGGGCGAAAGCCUGACGGAGCAAUGCCGCGUGAAGGAUGAAGGCCUAUGGGUUGUAAACUUCUUUUCUCAGAAAAGAAUUAUGACGGUAUCUGAGGAAUAAGCAUCGGCUAACUCUGUGCCAGCAGCCGCGGUAAGACAGAGGAUGCAAGCGUUAUCCGGAAUGAUUGGGCGUAAAGCGUCUGUAGGUUGUUUAAAAAGUAUUCUGUCAAAGAUUAGGGCUUAACCCUAGAUAGGCAGAAUAAACUUUUAAGCUAGAGUUUGGUAGAGGCAGAGGGAAUUCCCGGUGGAGCGGUGAAAUGCGUAGAUAUCGGGAGGAACACCAAAGGCGAAGGCACUCUGCUGGGCCAAUACUAACACUGAGAGACGAAGGCGAGGGGAGCAAAUGGGAUUAGAAACCCUGGUAGUCC